UACGGAGGGUGCAAGCGUUAUCCGGAUUCACUGGGUUUAAAGGGUGCGUAGGUGGAUCGGUAAGUCCGUGGUGAAAUCCCCGAGCUUAACUCGGGAACUGCCGUGGAUACUAUCGAUCUUGAAUACUGUGGAGGUAAGCGGAAUAUGUCAUGUAGCGGUGAAAUGCUUAGAUAUGACAUAGAACACCGAUAGCGAAGGCAGCUUGCUACACAGUUAUUGACACUGAGGCACGAAAGCGUGGGGGAGCAAACAGG
rnacentral:rRNA from 1 species